GUGACUCGAAGAAGCCUUCCAAAAAAGCAUGUGAAAAGGGAGCCCUCCUCUACUACCAAGGCUGACUUCAGGAGCACAUUCAAUGAGAAUACAAGAAGAUAUGCUGUGCACACCAACCAGUGUCGGAGACCUCAUGGCUCCCGGGUAAAGAAGAAGAGGUACCCACAAGAAGAUGACUUCCAUCAUACAGUCUUCAGCAACCUUGAAAGAUUGGACAAGCUUCAGCCCACUCUUGAAGCCUCUGAGGAGUCUCUAGUUCACAAGGACAGAGGAGAUGGAGAGAGGCCAGUCAACGCGAGGGUGGUGCAGGUGGCCCCUCUGAGGUGUGAAUCUA
rnacentral:antisense_RNA from 1 species